rnacentral:sRNA from 1 species
GCAUUGGGGGCAUGUCCGUGAAAGAGCAGAUGGAGACCAUCCGACACGGUGUACACAUGAUGGUGGCCACCCCGGGGCGCCUCAUGGAUUUGCUGCAGAAGAAGAUGGUCAGCCUAGAUAUCUGUCGCUACCUGGCCCUGGACGAGGCUGACCGCAUGAUCGACAUGGGCUUCGAGGGUGACAUCCGUACCAUCUUCUCCUACUUCAAGGGCCAGCGACAGACCCUGCUCUUCAGUGCCACCAUGCCGAAGAAGAUUCAGAACUUUGCUAAGAGUGCCCUUGUAAAGCCUGUCACCAUCAAUGUGGGGCGCGCUGGGGCUGCCAGCCUGGAUGUCAUCCAGGAAGUAGAAUAUGUGAAGGAGGAGGCCAAGAUGGUGUACCUGCUCGAGUGCCUGCAGAAGACACCCCCGCCUGUACUCAUCUUUGCAGAGAAGAAGGCAGACGUGGACGCCAUCCACGAGUACCUGCUGCUCAAGGGGGUUGAGGCCGUAGCCAUCCAUGGGGGCAAAGGUCAGGGUGGUGCAAGCACUGGCUUGGACCCUGCUGCAGUAGCAGCGCUUUACCUAAUGCCUUCCCCUGCCUGGUUGGCCUGCCACUCCCCUAUCCCAUGGUGGCUCUGACAGUGUCUGCCUGACCCUCCCCAGACCAGGAGGAACGGACUAAGGCCAUCGAGGCAUUCCGGGAGGGCAAGAAAGAUGUCCUAGUAGCCACAGACGUUGCCUCCAAGGGCCUGGACUUCCCUGCCAUCCAGCACGUCAUCAAUUAUGACAUGCCAGAGGAGAUUGAGAACUAUG